AUGCUAAGAUCAGCCUUCCCUCUCGUCUCUCAGUUGCCGCACAGGAAACCGCCCCCAAUCCACCCACCCCGCCCACAACCUGUUCGUCGCUAUGCCUCCCCCGCCGCCGCCGUCCCGCCGCCGCCUCCUCCGCCACGCCCACUACCUCCGGCCUCCGCCUACGUGCACCUCCCCUUCUGCCGCAAGCGGUGCCACUACUGCGACUUCCCCAUCGUGGCGCUCGGCUCCUCCGCGUCCUCCCCCGGCGGCCCGGGCGAGGGCGAGGACCCCCGGAUCGCCGACUACGUGCGCCUCCUGCUCCGGGAGGUAGCCGCCACGCGUCCCGUCUCCGACGACGGCGUGCCGCUGCAGACCAUCUUCUUCGGCGGCGGCACCCCGUCGCUAGUCCCGCCGAGGCUGGUGGCCGCGGUGCUCGACGCGCUGCGCGGCAGGUUCGGGCUGUCCGCGUGUCCGGAGGUGUCCAUCGAGAUGGACCCCGGCACGUUCGACGCGGCCAAGCUGCGGGAGCUGGUGGGCGUGGGCGUGAACCGGGUGUCGCUCGGCGUGCAGGCGUUCCAGGAGGAGCUGCUCCGGGCGUGCGGCCGCGCGCACGGCCUGCGGGAGGUGCACGAGGCCGUCGGGAUCGUGACCGCCUGCGAGGGGCUCCAGAACUGGAGCAUGGACCUCAUCUCCUCCCUGCCCAACCAGACCCAGGAGAUGUGGGAGGAGAGCUUGCGGCGCACCGUCGAUGCCCGCCCCACGCAUGUCUCCGUCUACGACCUGCAGAUCGAGCAGGGCACCAAGUUUGGGCAAAUCUAUACGCCUGGUGUAUUUCCUCUCCCAAAUGAGACAGACUCUGCGAACUUCUACAAGAUAGCUUCGAAACGGCUUUCUGAAGCAGGAUAUCAACACUACGAGAUCAGUAGCUACUGCAAGCCUGGUUACGAGUGCAAGCACAACGUAACAUACUGGCAAAACAGGCCGUUCUAUGCGUUUGGCCUUGGAUCAGCAAGCUACAUCAACGGUGUCAGGUACUCGAGGCCCAGAGGAAUGAAGAACUACGCAGAUUGGGUUCAGAAGCUGGAAGACGGCACCUGGUGCCAUGAGUCCAGCGUCUCCGAGACGAAGGAUAUGGCUAUGGACUCGGUGAUGCUGUCACUGAGAACAGCUCGCGGGCUGGAUCUGCACAGUUUCAGUAAAUCUUUUGGAGAGGGUCUGACACGGUCAUUGUGUGAUACGUUCAGGCCUUUUGUUGAGAGUGGGCUGGUGAUCGCCAUGGACAAGGAGCGAGAGGCCCUGCAGUUCAGUGAGUUUGAGUCGGAUUUGGAAAGCGAGGGAGAGAUGACCGGGAGCAGGGUGGCCUUCAUCCGUCUGAGUGACCCGGAUGGAUUUCUGUUGUCCAAUGAGUUGAUCUCGCUGGCCUUUGGGACUAUUUCGCCAUGA
rnacentral:rRNA from 1 species